AUCUAGAUAGCUCAGUAGGUAGUGCAUGAGACUAGAGCAUGAGACGCUUGAUCUCAGGGUUGUGGGUUUGAGCUCCACGUUGGGCA